GGCGAACGCUGGCGGCGUGCUUAACACAUGCAAGUCGAACGAUGAAGCGGUGCUUGCACCGUGGAUUAGUGGCGAACGGGUGAGUAAUACGUGAGUGACCUACCUUUGACUCUGGGAUAAGCCUGGGAAACUGGGUCUAAUACCGGAUACGACCAAUCUCUGCAUGGGGUGUUGGUGGAAAGCGUUAUGGAGUGGUUUUAGAUGGGCUCACGGCCUAUCAGCUUGUUGGUGAGGUAAUGGCUUACUAAGGCGACGACGGGUAGCCGGCCUGAGAGGGUGACCGGCCACACUGGGACUGAGACACGGCCCAGACUCCUACGGGAGGCAGCAGUGGGGAAUAUUGCACAAUGGGCGCAAGCCUGAUGCAGCGACGCCGCGUGAGGGAUGACGGCCUUCGGGUUGUAAACCUCUGUUAGCAUCGAAGAAGCGAAAGUGACGGUAGGUGCAGAGAAAGCGCCGGCUAACUACGUG
rnacentral:rRNA from 1 species